AUGGGGACCGGGCUGUGAGAGGGGAACUGGGACAGAGAACAGGCACGGUGUGACGGGGGACCGGGACGGGAACGGGGACAGGGGCCGGGGCGGUGUGAGGGGAACCGGGACAGGGAACGAGGUGGUGUGAGAGGAACCGGGAUAGGGAAACAGGCCGGUGUGAGGCGAUCCGGGACGGGGGAAUGGGACAGGAAGACGGGAUAAGGAUCGGGGCGGUGUGAGGGGACUCCGGGACAAGGAAACGGGACAGAGAAGCGGAACGGUGUGAGGGACGGGACGGGAACCGGGGCGGUGUGAGGGGUGCUGGGAGGGGGAACCCGAGGCAGCCGGUCAUGGGGCAGGAGCCUUCCUGCGGCAGGGCCUCUCACGAACGCCAAGUUCAAAAACUGGAAUUACCGAAGAAAUGAAGGAGCUUUAACCUAAAUUUCGAGGUAAACCCAGAAAAGAACCAGUGCCCGUGUCAGAGGCUGGAUCCUACGGCUGGCGUGAGGAACCGCACGGUGCCGCGGUGAAGACAGGUACUGCUGUUAAAUUACACACUUCAAUGGCUGCUAAAGCAGUACAAUUCCAGCUUGUGAGAAGUCAGGUAAGUAACCAUCAGGUGCCAUCCAAAAGUGUCCCUUAAGCACUGAAGAUGCCUGCUUCUCCAGUCUGUACCCUUCCCAGCCUUGACUGAUGGUCAGUGCUCCAGAAUCCAAACAAAGUAAUUUGCCAGAGUGGCUGAUCCAGGGACCAACUGUGUGGUUUCUCUUAUUUGGGAAAAGCAGGACUGAUGCAGACACUCACCUGUGCAGGUUCUCAACCCUCCCCUUCAAUAUCGUACCUAAGGCCACCCCUUCCAUAGACAGCAGCCGUGUUCUUUGGAGAAUUUUAUUAAAAUAUAUCCAAGAAGUAAUCAAACAUUUUCUUAUGAGUCAGGAGAGAACCGAAGUGAGAAAAACAUCUGUACAGAGGACAGUGCUGUAAGUUUUUCUUUACAUGCUUUAUUUCAAUGUUUCACAGUUUAGUCAUUGUCUACAAAAAUAUAUUUCUGAAACUCUGA